rnacentral:piRNA from 1 species
UAUUGAACUAGACCUGCUUGGUAGUGGC